UACGUAGGGUGCGAGCGUUGUCCGGAAUUAUUGGGCGUAAAGGGCUCGUAGGCGGUUUGUCGCGUCGGCCGUGAAAUCUCCACGCUUAACGUGGAGCGUGCGGUCGAUACGGGCAGACUUGAGUUCGGUAGGGGAGACUGGAAUUCCUGGUGUAGCGGUGAAAUGCGCAGAUAUCAGGAGGAACACCGGUGGCGAAGGCGGGUCUCUGGGCCGUAACUGACGCUGAGGAGCGAAAGCGUGGGGAGCGAACAGG
rnacentral:rRNA from 1 species